rnacentral:rRNA from 1 species
UGGGGAAUAUUGCGCAAUGGGCGGAAGCCUGACGCAGCGACGCCGCGUGGGGGAUGACGGCCUUCGGGUUGUAAACCUCUUUCGCCAGGGACGAAGCGAGAGUGACGGUACCUGGAUAAGAAGCACCGGCCAACUACGUGCCAGCAGCCGCGGUAACACGUAGGGUGCGAGCGUUGUCCGGAAUUAUUGGGCGUAAAGAGCUCGUAGGCGGUGUGUCACGUCGAUCGUGAAAACCUGUGGCUUAACUAUGGGCGUGCGGUCGAUACGGGCAUCACUGGAGUUCGGCAGGGGAGACUGGAAUUCCUGGUGUAGCGGUGAAAUGCGCAGAUAUCAGGAGGAACACCGGUGGCGAAGGCGGGUCUCUGGGCCGAUACUGACGCUGAGGAGCGAAAGCGUGGGGAGCGAACAG